GAUGAACGCUGGCGGCAUGCCUAAUACAUGCAAGUCGAACGAGAGGAAGGAAAGCUUGCUUUUCUGAAUCUAGUGGCGAACGGGUGGGUAACACGUAGGUAACCUGCCCAUGUGCCCGGGAUAACUUCUGGAAACGGAUGCUAAAGCCGGAUAGGUAGCAGACAAGCAUUAGACUGCUAUUAAAGUGGCUAAGGCCAUGAACAUGGAUGGACCUGCGGUGCAUUAGCUAGUUGGUGAGGUAACAGCCCACCAAGGCGAAGAUGCAUAGCCGGCCUGAGAGGGCGGACGGCCACAUUGGGACUGAGACACGGCCCAAACUCCUACGGGAGGCAGCAGUAGGGAAUUUUCGUCAAUGGGGGGAACCCUGAACGAGCAAUGCCGCGUGAGUGAGGAAGGUCUUCGGAUCGUAAAGCUCUGUUGUAAGAGAAAAACGACAUUCAUAGGGAAUGAUGAGUGAGUGAUGGUAUCUUACCAGAAAGUCACGGCUAACUACGUGCCAGCCGCCGCCGUAA
rnacentral:rRNA from 1 species